rnacentral:lncRNA from 1 species
GGGUGGAGGACAGGGACAUAGCCCACAGGCCAAGACUGGGAACUAAGGAAGGAAAGGAGGUGUUCUGGUAGAUUGGGUCACGCAACUCAAGGGUCUGCGUGGCCUGAAGAAAGUCAAACAGGAUCAGAGCCUGGAUGCCAAUGAGCAUAGCAAGGACCGCACCUGCCAGGGGUAAGGCGCUCUGGAGCACUGGGAGUCCUGCAGCUGCGCCUUUAAAGCCCCAGGCCCCUCUCCCGGACACUCUCUUU